GGUGACAAACCGGAGGAAGGUGGGGAUGACGUCAAGUCAUCAUGGCCCUUACGGCCUGGGCUACACACGUGCUACAAUGGUCGGUACAAAGGGGUUGCCAAGCCGCGAGGUGGAGCUAAUCCCAUAAAACCGAUCGUAGUCCGGAUCGCAGUCUGCAACUCGACUGCGUGAAGUCGGAAUCGCUAGUAAUCGUGAAUCAGAAUGUCACGGUGAAUACGUUCCCGGGCCUU
rnacentral:rRNA from 1 species